rnacentral:rRNA from 1 species
UACGUAGGGGGCGAGCGUUGUCCGGAAUUAUUGGGCGUAAAGCGCGCGCAGGCGGUCCUUUAAGUCUGAUGUGAAAGCCCACGGCUCAACCGUGGAGGGUCAUUGGAAACUGGAGGACUUGAGUACAGAAGAGGAAAGCGGAAUUCCACGUGUAGCGGUGAAAUGCGUAGAGAUGUGGAGGAACACCAGUGGCGAAGGCGGCUUUCUGGUCUGUAACUGACGCUGAGGCGCGAAAGCGUGGGGAGCAAACAGG